GUGUCAGCCGCCGCGGUAAGACAGAGGUGGCUAGCGUUGUUCGGAUUUAUUGGGCGUAAAGCGCACGCAGGCGGUUUGGUAAGUCAGAGGUGAAAUUCCGCAGCUUAACUGCGGAACUGCCUUUGAUACUGCCUUUCUCGAGUGCAUGAGGGGGAAGCGGAAUUCCGAGUGUAGAGGUGAAAUUCGUAGAUAUUCGGAGGAACACCGGUGGCGAAGGCGGCUUCCUGGCAUGUAACUGACGCUCAGGUGCGAAAGCGUGGGGAGCAAACAGGAUUAGAUACCCUGGUAGUCCACGCCCUAAACGAUGGGCACUAGGUGUGGGAGGUAUCGACCCCUUCCGUGCCGCAGCUAACGCAUUAAGUGCCCCGCCUGGGGAGUACGGCCGCAAGGUUGAA
rnacentral:rRNA from 1 species